UACGAAGGGUGCAAGCGUUGCUCGGAAUCAUUGGGCGUAAAGCGCACGUAGGCGGCUUUGCAAGUCGGACGUGAAAUCCCUCAGCUCAACUGAGGAAGUGCAUCCGAAACUGCAAGGCUUGAGUACUGAAGAGGAUCGCGGAAUUCCCGGUGUAGAGGUGAAAUUCGUAGAUAUCGGGAGGAACACCAGUGGCGAAGGCGGCGAUCUGGGCAGAUACUGACGCUGAGGUGCGAAAGCGUGGGGAGCAAACAGG
rnacentral:rRNA from 1 species